rfam:Lactobacillus senioris DSM 24302 = JCM 17472 strain DSM 24302 NODE_8, whole genome shotgun sequence.
CGAUGACAUUAGGGGAGCCCGUUUGCGGGCUGAGACGACAUGGUCGGACCCUUGAACUUGAUCUGGUUAACACCAGCGGAAGGAAAUGUUCAUGUACUUUC